rnacentral:rRNA from 1 species
AGCGUAGGUGGCCUAACAUGUCAACUGUGAAAACCCGGAGCUCAACUCCGGACUUGCAGUUGAAACUGGUAGGCUUGAGGACGGUAGAGGAAGACGGAACUGCCAGUGUAGGGGUAAAAAUCCUUAGAUAUUGGCAGGAACGCCGGUGACGAAGGUGGUUUUCUGGGCCGGUUCUGACACUGAUGCUCGAAAGCCAGGGGAGCGAACG